AAUAGAUACCCCGGUAGUCCACGCCGUAAACGAUGAGUGCUAAGUGNUUAGGGGGUUUCCGCCCCUUAGUGCUGCAGCUAACGCAUUAAGCACUCCGCCUGGGGAGUACGGUCGCAAGACUGAAACUCAACGGAAUUGACGGGGGCCCGCACAAGCGGUGGAGCAUGUGGUUUAAUUCGAAGCAACGCGAAGAACCUUACCAGGUCUUGACAUCCCACUGACCGCUAUGGAGACAUAGUUUUCCCUUCGGGGACAGUGGUGACAGGUGGUGCAUGGUUGUCGUCAGCUCGUGUCGUGAGAUGUUGGGUUAAGUCCCGCAACGAGCGCAACCCUUGAUCUUAGUUGCCAUCAUUUAGUUGGGCACUCUAAGGUGACUGCCGGUGACAAACCGGAGGAAGGUGGGGAUGACGUCAAAUCAUCAUGCCCCUUAUGACCUGGGCUACACACGUGCUACAAUGGACGGUACAAACGGUUGCCAACCCGCGAGGGGGAGCUAAUCCGAUAAAACCGUUCUCAGUUCGGAUUGUAGGCUGCAACUCGCCUA
rnacentral:rRNA from 1 species